rnacentral:rRNA from 1 species
GAUGAACGCUGGCGGCGUGCCUAAUACAUGUAAGUCGAGCGGACGGACGAUACUCUUGCGGCGCUGAUGUUAGCGGCGCACGUGUGUGUAACGCGUGUAUAACCUACCUAUAAUACUGGUAUAACUUCGGGAAACCGGCUCUUAUACCGUAUGAUCUUUUGAACCGCGUUGUUGAAUGGUGAAAGACGGUCUUUCUGGCAGUUAUAGAUGCAUCCGCGCUUCAUUAGAUAGUUGGUAAGUUAACGGCUUACCAAGGCAACGAUGCAUAGCCGACCGGAGGGGCUGAUAGGCGACAUGGGAAGGGGACCAGGGUCCAGACUCCUACGGGAGGCAGCAGAAGGGAACGUUCCGCAAUGGGCGAAAGCAUGACGGAGCAAGCGCGAGUGAGUGACGAAGGUGUUCGGAGCGUAAAAAUGUGUUAUUAGGGAAGAACAGAUGUGUAAGUAAAUGUGCAGAUAUUGACGGUAACUAAUAAGAAAGCAACGGCUAACUACGUG